rnacentral:rRNA from 1 species
UACAGAGGCCUCGAGCGUUAGGCGGAAUCACUGGGCUUAAAGCGUGUGUAGGUGGAUGUCUAAGUACCUUGUGAAAUCCCACGGCUUAACCGUGGAACGGCUCGGUAUACUGGAUGUCUUGAGCCAGCUAGGGGCUACCGGAACAAAUGGUGGAGCGGUGAAAUGCGUAGAUAUCAUUUGGAACGCCAAUGGUGAAAACAGGUAGCUGGGGCUGUGCUGACACUGAGACACGAAAGCCAGGGGAGCAAACGGG